UAUUUUUCUAUUUAAACUUUAUUAUUUUGAAUCAAUGUUUCAACAUUAUUUUAUCAUUUCAAUCAAUUUUGUUAAGUGUGUUUAUAAUUCACAAAUUGGUAGAUCGGUAGUUCCAACUUGAGAGAAAUUUGUAGAAUAUUAAAAUUAUUCCUGUCUUAUGAGUGUUAGGUUUUUUGUUUUUUUGCAUUAACUGUAUUGCAUAGCCAAUACCUUCAACAAUAGUAAAUAUCAUGAUGGUUAACUAUAUGAUAAAAAUUUGAUUUCCAUUGAGACCAAGAGGAUGAAUCAGAUAGUCUUGUUGUAACUGAUAGACCGUAAGCUCUGGUUUAUGAUUAUUCUUUUUUAUUCUGCCAUUCCUGAUAUACUGUUUUGGAAUCUUUACAAAUACAUGUAAAAUUUGAUGGGGAUUAUGGAUAUAAAUUAGCUUGUUGAGGCCUAAAAGCACGGUCCAUAAUAUACCGUUAUGAUCCAUGGGUUUUGUAACGAUGACUUGUUUGAUGAAGCUUUCGCAUUGAUGUAAAAAAUGAAAGACAAUGGAUGCAAUCCAAAUGCUACAACUUAUGAAAUAAUUAUCCGUUUUUAUAAAGAUGAAAACGAAGGCAGAGAAAUUUCUUGAUGAAAUGAUUGCGAGAGGUCUCCUUUAAGACUGGAACUAAGUAAGAUGUUUUCUAGAAACAAGUAAAUCAGCACCAUGAUGAAUUGUGCCAUUGUUCUGUCUGCAACUCAUGACAGGGACAGGGAACAAACCAUCGGUAAAACCAGUGACAUAUUCACAAUUACAUGUUACAUAUAAGGUUACACACUUACAUCGAUGUUCUUUAACCUACUUUUGCUUAUAUUUGAUAUCUGAGUAGUAAUUUGUAUCAUGAUAGUCAUUUGAACCUCUACUAAACCUAUUUGUUAUCAGCACAGGUAUCCACACACUUUGUAUUGCAAAAAUAUAACACACAAAACCCAAGAAUGUGUACAGGUGGCUUCUAAGAUGAUGGAGCAUUGUGCAUGAGAUGUGUCCAAGGGGUCUAAGGUGUAUCGAAGUGAAGAAAAACAAGUUUUAUUUUUGUGACACUUAUUUGAGGUGUCGUAUGAGUGUCAGAAUGAUGCAUGUCAGACACAACGAUAAAUCUAACCUCAAAGAUGUAUGAACUUCAUAGUUCAUAUCCAUUUCUAUUUUGUAAUUAGAAUGUUGAAGCAGCGGGUUGAUAUUGAGAAAACAAGACAUCGGACUGCUGUCACUUCAGAUGUUCGACAUCAAAUCAUGGAAAUGAAUAGGAAAGCAAGGGAAGAGUGGGAGAAAAAACAGGCUGAAGCAGAGAAGCUCCGGAAACCGAAAGAUGUAGAUGGUAGUUCUGGAGUUGAUGGUGACAAGGAGAAGGAUGAAGGUCGCAAUAAAGCAACAAAGGUGAACAAGGAAGUAGAUGCCAAGAUGAGGACAAACGUUGCGGCCAGAGCUUCCGUUGGGGGACCUGACAUGCUGUCUAAAUUGCAACUUAUGGCCAAGCAAGCCAGGCAGAAACGUGAAGGGGGGAUGGACGCUGCAUCUGAUUCUCAGCCAACUAAAGAUGUGAGUCGCAAAUCUCCAUCGCCAGGAAGGAGCACAAAAGAGAAAAUGUCCAACUUCUCUUGGGAAUUCGGGUGUGUUUCUUCUUGGUUGUUUCAUAUCAUUUCAGGAAAAUAAACCAAGAUACCAAUUCUCAAACAAAUGAGGAAGAAGAUUGGAGGACUUAGUGAUGAUCGCACAUAAAAGGAAAGAGGCAAAGAGCUAAAGCUUUUGUUAAUAUUUGUUGUUUUUGGCUGAAGUGCCGCUGCUAGGAAAUUUGGUAAAAAUCAUUCCCUUGGAUCUCAAACUUGCGUAGCUCGUAGCAUCUCUGUGAAGGGGGAUUCAUUUACAUCAGCUUGUAAACCGAUAGUCAGUUGGCAGAGGGAAUGUCUUUCUGAAGGAGCGCUUGUUCUGGGAUUAUAGAGAUCACUCUCUGUAAUAGUUCUUAUUUCAGUCAAUAAUACGAUUUCUUUUUAUCUUGAAUUCGGUUCCAUAUAAAUGAUAGAGUCAUGUUUGUUGCUAUAUCAAAUUAAGUAGCAUUUACUGUUUCAAUCUCCAAAUAUUCAGUAGCACAGUGCAUUGGCUACACCUGCACUUAACUGUUCAGCUCAAAUUUCUGUAGAUAACAGGAUAUUGAUGUACAUCAGUAGGCGUGUAAAAAAUAUUUGAUUCAUUCAGUAGAAAGAUACCUGAUUUUUUAUUUA